GACGAACGCUGGCGGCGUGCUUAACACAUGCAAGUCGAACGGAAAGGCCUCUUUCGGGGGGUACUCGAGUGGCGAACGGGUGAGUAACACGUGAGUAACCUGCCCUUGACUUUGGGAUAACUUCAGGAAACUGGGGCUAAUACCGGAUAGGAGCUCCUGCUGCAUGGUGGGGGUUGGAAAGUUUCGGCGGUUGGGGAUGGACUCGCGGCUUAUCGGCUUGUUGGUGGGGUAGUGGCUUACCAAGGCCUUGACGGGUAGCCGGCCUGUGAGGGUGACCGGCCACAUUGGGACUGAGAUACGGCCCAGACUCCUACGGGAGGCAGCAGGGGGGAAUAUUGCACAAGGGGUGGAAGCCGGAUGCAGCAACGCCGUGUGCGGGAUGACGGCCUUCGGGUUGUAAACCGCUUUCGCUCAUGACGAAGCUUUGUGUGACGGUAGUGGGUAAAGAAGCACCGGCUAACUACGUG
rnacentral:rRNA from 1 species